GUUUUUAGGAAAAACUGAUCUGUUUUGAUAUCUCUCUGCUUCCUUAACAUUUCAGUUUGAUUAUGCUAUUUUUGAGUGAUUCUGUUUUGGUUUGGUCUGUUGAGGCCUCAUGCAGGAGUUCAAGCCAAACAAUUGGCUUCCCAUAAUUUUGUUUAACAGUCCCUUGUGAAACACACAACUUGAAAAUUCCUCUUGCCUGUCCCUUAGGUUCAUGUCCAGGACAUUUUUUAUUUCUUAGCUCAACUCCCUGCAAUAGUUGAUUUAGUCACUUUCUUAAAAAUUGGCACUUAUAGAAGAGAUUGUAGUUGACUUUGUAUGGAAACUUGUGGAGACACUAAAGCUGAUGAAGUUGUGGAUCAUUUCUGUAUAAUGUUGUUAAUGACUAUGGUAGAUUGGGGGAAAGGAAUUAUAACAGGAACUGAAACUAAAUGUUUUUGCUUGGUAGACUUUUGAAAACUAACUAAACAAAGAUUUGCUUUUAAUUACUGAAACACAGAAAGGUGCUUUUAUGAUCUCCAUAAUAACCUCUAAUAUCUUCCAUAUUCACUUGAAACUAAAAUGGAAGUUCUGGGCUGGGAUUGCACCACAGUUGUAGAGUGCUUGCCUAGCACAGAUGGGGCACUGGGUUCUAUCCUCAGCACCACAUAAAAAU
rnacentral:lncRNA from 1 species